GAGGACAGGAUUACUCUUCUUCCUCUGAUGAAAGUAUGAAACUGCCAUCCAUCCAUCGUACUCUAAACAGGAGCGUGUAAAUUAAGGACUACGUACCUGAUCAAAUGAGGGUAAGCUGGACAUUCUAGCAUCAUUUUAGUGCUCUGGCUACAAGAAAACUUAUGGGGUCAGUUUGCUUCUUUCAAAAAUCCUUUAUGGAAGUCAUCAAUGGAUUGGGAUCUCCAAGAGAGAAGGAUGUGAAUGGAUUCAUCGAAGGAUCAUAUAUUCCUUUCCGGCCACUGAUCAAGGGCCAUCAGGACAGGACUUUGUGAGGCACAGGAGAGAACAGAAAACGUAAGAGGUGUUAAAAGAGCAUUUCUCUCCUAAGCUGUCAACAGAGAUUAAAGAGAAUGAUGAACUGAAUUAUCAUGUGUAACGGAUUAUAUUAUUUUAUCAUUCCAGCUACUUAGGUGCUCUUUGAAUUAAUGAAAAUAAAUGUCGGCCCUUUC